CCUGGCCGUAAUGGUCGGCAUGAUGGCCCAGACCUUGAUCCAGGAACUGAAGCUGUACAAACUCACAGGCAACAUGAAGGUUGAAAAUGAGCUGAUGAAGAAAAAGGAAGGGGAGCUCAGUGAAGUAAAGCUGAGAGUGAAGGAGCUGAAGGAUCAGCUGACAAACGCAGAAGCUCAAGUGAAGGACCUGAAAAUGAAACGGGAGAAAACUGAGUCCUCGUUGAUGUCUUUUGAAGAGAAGAUGCAGAACUGUAAUAAAGACAAGGAGGACUCAAUGAUGAAAAAAGCUACAGUUGAGUCAAACAUAACAAAACUUAAAGGUGAACGAGAAAAGACAAAAGCUCGAGUUGAUGAGGAUCUCAACAAUUUGAAGCAGAAAAUUCUUCAGAGAGACAAAGAAAUUUGCCCAUUUGCAGAUAUGUCUAAAGCUGAUGCACAGGCACUGUGUGGAGUUCAAAAGGAAACCAGCGCUUAAGUUUACCAAUAUCUGUUUGUUUGUGUUUUAUGCAACCAUAAGAAUUAGGGCUACUUCAAGGUUUCUGCCCAAUUCGAAGUAAAAGCAUUGCUAUAGUGGAGGCCGGGAAGAUUAGCUUGAGUCAGAUAAUUUUGAGAGGUGUGUGAGUUGGAUAAAAGUUCAUUAAUAUCAGCACUUAAUAUCAAGUUAAUAUAUCAGCUAAAGGGACAUGAAUGUUUGUUGUUUGCUUUUUUUAAGUUGUGCUUAAACAGAUGUGACUUAAUGAACCAGUAUGCCAGUGACUUAUAGAUCAGUAAAUGCCACAACCAGGCAGCAGGGAAGAGAAUUGAAUAUUCUAACAAAAAAAAAAAAAAACACACCAAGAAUUACAGCUUGUCUCAGGAAUUUCAUGCAAGAUUUUCCAUCAUGAACUGGCUGUUUCCAACCAAUUUAUGAAUAGUGUGUUGUUUAUUGUUGACUGUAGUGACAAAGUUUAUGUCAUCAUCAUGAAUUGAACAAAACCCUGAUGAUGCUGUAACAGCAGACAGUUUACAUGUACUUUUGACUCCCUCUAGUGUUUGUUGAAUGUUUUUGAAGUACAACUUUUCAGCUCUUUUAUCUAGUCUAAUAUAAUCAAGUGUUCCGUUUCUCAAUGUACUGUCUCAAGAGUUUAUUAACAUAUGCCAUGCAAUCAGAUCAAUAAAUGUUUUUCCUGGGAAAUGUUAUCUACCUUG
rnacentral:lncRNA from 1 species